rnacentral:lncRNA from 1 species
NNNNNNNNNNNNNNCUGGGCGCGGCGGCGCGCAUGCGCAGCCCCUGGGGCCGGCCCUGGCGCACCUUUUCUCCCCGCUGCCACAAUGUGAGCGCCCUGCCGCCCAGAUAACCGCCGACUCCCGCUCCACCCCCGCCCUCCCCCACUCCGCCCACUGCUGAGCGCCCAGAGAGAAUGCAUAUGUGCAAGAGACCGCAUAAGCAGGGGGAGAAGCAGGCUCCCCACUGAACAAGGACCCCAAUUUGGGACUUGAUCCCAGGACGCUGGGAUCGUGACCUGAGCCAAAGGCAGAUGCCCAACGGACUGAGCCACCCAGGC